rnacentral:rRNA from 1 species
UACGGAGGGUGCAAGCGUUAUCCGGAUUCACUGGGUUUAAAGGGUGCGUAGGUGGGCUGGUAAGUCAGUGGUGAAAUCUCCAGGCUUAACUUGGAAACUGCCAUUGAUACUAUCAGUCUUGAAUACCGUGGAGGUCAGCGGAAUAUAUCAUGUAGCGGUGAAAUGCUUAGAUAUGAUAUAGAACACCAAUAGCGAAGGCAGCUUACUACGCAGUUAUUGACACUGAGGCUCGAAAGCGUGGGGAUCAAACAGG